GAGUUUGAUCGUGGCUCAGAUUGAACGCUGGCGGCAUGCCUUACACAUGCAAGUCGAACGGUAACAGGUUAAGCUGACGAGUGGCGAACGGGUGAGUAAUACAUCGGAACGUGCCCAGACGUGGGGGAUAGCUCGGCGAAAGCCGGAUUAAUACCGCAUGUGAUCUGAGGAUGAAAGCGGGGGACCGUAAGGCCUCGCGCGUUUGGAGCGGCCGAUGGCAGAUUAGGUAGUUGGUGGGGUAAAGGCUUACCAAGCCUACGAUCUGUAGCUGGUCUGAGAGGACGACCAGCCCACACUGGGACUGAGACACGGCCCAGACUCCUACGGGAGGCAGCAGUGGGGAAUUUUGGACAAUGGGCGCAAGCCUGAUCCAGCAAUGCCGCGUG
rnacentral:rRNA from 1 species